GAUGAACGCUGGCGGCGUGCCUAACACAUGCAAGUCGAACGGAAAGGCCCUGCUUUUGUGGGGUGCUCGAGUGGCGAACGGGUGGGUAACACGUGAGUAACCUGCCCUUGACUUUGGGAUAACUUCAGGAAACCGGGGCUAAUACCGGAUAGGAGCUCCUGCUGCAGGGUGGGGGUUGGAAAGUUUCGGCGGAUGGGGAUAGACUCGCGGCUUACCAGCUUGGUGGGGGGGUAGGGGCUUACCAAGGCCUUGACGGGUAGCCCGCCUGGGAGGGGGGACGCGCACAAUGGUCCUGCGGUACGGCCCAGACUCCAACGGUGGACAGCGGUCGAAAAUAUUACACAGUGGUCGGGAGCGUGAUACGGAAGCGCCGCGGUCGUAAUGACGGCCUUCGGGUUGUAAACCGCUUUCGCCUAUGACGAAGCGUGAGUGACGGUAAUGGAUAAAGAAGCACCGGCUAACUACGUG
rnacentral:rRNA from 1 species